CUCUGGACACACGGACAGGUAUCAGGUAUUACUUUUUUUCCCCUGCUGUGGUGCAUGGUGUUUGCCAUUCUUAUCGGUGAUGUUUGUCUCCUGUGCAGAACGAGUCAGACAUCUCAGAUAUAUGGCUUUUGUUUGAACAGAGAUGGAGUCAUAGAUAUAAAAGAAGCAAAUGUAAAGAGAGGGGGUUUGAUCACUGCAGCAGAACAGGCAGAGAUCUGCUCAGGUGUAGCUAAUGGCAUUCCAUGUCGUUCCAGGCACUCCUGGGCAUCUCACCAGUGAGUUCUGAUACUGGGCUGUUCCUCUUUGGCCAUCAGCCCCUCUCCUGCAGUGUUAGUGGGUUCUUGAUCAUCCAAAUAGGGGUUUUUGAAUUGACAGGAAUGACUGUUCUUGUUGAUCCUGAGGGCAUUCUACCAUCCCUACCCCUUUGUCUCCCAAGUCCACAAUGUAGUGAGGUAGCUGUUUUCCUUAUUAAUUACCAUUUACCAGCACCAUUCUUUGGCAGCAGGUACGAGAACAGCUUUGCUUUGCCUGUGAAGCAUUCAGUUGCUUGAAUAUAUCCAAAUAUAUAGCCUUCAGUGCUUUUUGAGGGUAUCAAUUCUGAGAUUUCUCAGAACUUGUCUCUGUUUUCCAUGUCCCUAUGACUUUUUUCUCUGCCAGUUCAAGUAGGUAAUAGACAAAAUAGCUCACUAUUGGCUUAAUCUAUUAUCCAUUUCUAAGGUCCCUCAAAAAACAUCAGUGUAAUGUCUUGGUAUGGGUGUAAAUAAAUUUUGUAUCUAAAUACAAAAUAGAUAGGGGAAAAAAAUGCCUGAGGUGCAGCAUUGCUCUAUUCAGGAAAUCCUCAGGAAGGUUUUUUUUCAUCAGUGUUUCUUACAGUGCCUUUGAUAAUUGUCUCUGGAACUGAAAUCGUUGUGGUGGUGUGAUUGAUGUUUGGCUCAUGAUAGGACUGUCAGUGGAGAUCUUUCUUCUUCCUCUUACAUAAGUCCUGGAGGCCUUUGGAAUCCAGUGCGUUCACUUGUGCCCUAGAAACUUCCUGGCCUUCAGUUUCCAAUUUCUGUGCUGCUCUGAUCUGUUACCUGAUGGCCUUUGGCAGGAGAGAAGAGCCAUUUAAUGUGGUACAGUCAAGAGCCAAAGCUGAAAGCUUUUGUUUGGCAGGAGUUUGUUAAUAUUUCUUCCCUAAGUUUGAUGUACUUCAGCUUUAGCAAUCAAAGAAAUAUUGAAAACUUUUGAGGAACAGCAGGAAAUGUUUGGAGCGUCUUUUUGUUUUGAAUUUCUUCAGGCCAUUGAUCCGUAACCUCCAAUUUUUGUAAAAAAUAUAUGGCUACAAACACUUUUUUGUACGUGUAAGCAGGUGUAUUUGCUAAACUCAGAAACAAAGAAUGUGUAAAAUGAACUGAUGAUUCUGGGAGCCACUGGGUUUGCUCUCAACUUGAAGCACUUGAAGAGCUUAAAAACAUCCUCUGUGUCUAGAGGGGCUGUAGGACUUCUGGAAAAUUUCUGCCAUCCUGCAGCUGCCCCCCACAAUGUUGCUGCAUCACCUGGCAGUGCUGACACUCUUACUUGCCUUAUUUUUCAUCUAGUUUGAUUGUAAACUUAGGGUUUUCCCAUUCUGGCCUCAAAACUGCCAAGCUGAUAAAUAUUUUCUCUUUCACAUCCAUCUCCAUAGAAACAGAGUCUGUGUUACUGCUGUAAUUGUUCUCCUGUGCUGUUUUUUCUGUUAGGGCCUUGGGGGGUUUUUUGUUGGCUUCUUCAUGGGAAGAUCCAAGUUCAUUGAUUUAAGACAACUUGUAAAUGUUCAAGCGUUAAGGGAAUAAAGGGAGUGAUUAUUUUCUCAGCCUUUCCUCUAUUCCUGAGCAAACAGUUUCUUAAGAUAAAGCCCUCACAACUUUGGAAAAAUGAAAUAUAGUCAUUUUAAAUGAAGUUCUGGAGCAAGAAUAGCAUUUUCCACCUCAAAAAUCCCCUGUUGCCUUUGGAAUUUCUUCAGCUGAGAGUCAGGGCCUCAGGUGGCACCUCAGCAGGAGAAGAAAAGUGUGUAGAACCAUUUUUAGGUCCUUGUUGCUGGAGCAGGCAGGGCAAGACAUUUUAUAAUUUGGCACUGAUGUUUACUUGCUGACAUUAAAAGAUAACCCCCUUCUGCAUAUUAUGCUGCCAUUACAAAUUCUGAGUCUUCACAAAGGAAAUAUGAAGUGUCCUGUCCCCACAGCUGAAAUCCAAAGGCGCGGUGAAAUAUUUCCACAUUUCUGCCUUAUCCUGUGAAACAAAGUUCACUUAGUCAAAUCCAAGUACCUGCACUUUUCUGUUGCACAAAUCAAUUGUUUUGCAAGCACCAUUCAAUCAGACCGCAUUUAUUAGGUCAGCUCUGGCUUGAAGUUCCAGGUUCAAUGGGAAUCAUAUUCCCAAUGAUAUUACCAGGAUGUAAUGAUCUCUUAGAGGAGAACUGGGUUUGCAGCAGCAGCAACAAAACAUUAUUCAGGUUGCUGUUUUCCUUCCCAUGUUCUCCUUUACCUGGAUUUGUUACACUAUGACAUGUACUACUGGAAACCUGGGAUUCCCAGAGUUAAGGAAGUGACUCAAAAGAAGAGAAAACUGAGGAAAUGUUGGUUGGUUCAUUUGCUGGUUUUUCUUUAGAGUAGUACUUAGCGACUCUGAUUUUUGAAGAAGGGAAUAAUUGGGGUUUGAAAUUCAGUCUCUCUGAAUUUGAGGGCCUUCAGGAAGACCUGAUUUUAGAAGAAAGGUUCCUCAGUACAUUCCCAGAAUCAGAAAAAUUUCUUCAGAGACCAAAAAGUGCAUCUGAGCUUAGCAAAGAUCUGUGUGGUUCUUGUGGUUCUCUUAAAUAAGUUAUCAAAAGAUUGGUCCAUACAUCAGAGAAACUAAAGAGAUUUAUCAGGUGAUCUGUGGCUGUGUAAAGCCUAAAUAGUUGUGAUGAUUGUUAGUUGUUAAAAUUUGAACACUAAGCUGAGAAUCCUUCUUAAGUCAUGCAAAGAAAUAUUAACGAUCUCUUUGCACAUGAAGCUUUUGGUGUUGUCUUUUGGAUCAAUUAGGCAGAGGCUACACUCGUAAGGCCAUUCCUCUGUGGCGCCCUCCAACCCCGUGCUGACAGUCCUUGACAUUUGCUUUCUGCCCAAAGGCCUUUUCCAACAGUGCUUCAAUGUUGCCAGUCAGGCAUAUCCACAGCCUGCCCACCGAGUCAAAAUUAACUCAGGAAAUCCAAUUACAACAAUUAAUGUAGUAGUGCCCUUAUCUGGCACCUUCAGCUUAGUGUAAACUUGGGUUUCUGACUUUGCUCCUUCGCUCUGAGUGCUGGAAACACAGAGUGGGUGUCUAGGCACUGGAGCUAUUCCCAGCACUAAGAGGCUUAAGGCUUCCCUUAAAGUCAGUGCAGAUCCAGAUCUAGGCAGAUUCCUGGCUCCCUGGGCUGGGAAAUUGGGAGCUGGGAAAAUGAGGUGUGGAACCCAAUUUCUCCCAGUUCCUGCUGGCAGAGAGGACAGCCUUGUGCUAAGCCAAGACUGAGGGCACUGUUGGUGGAGAGCCCAGGAAGCCUGAAAAUGCUGGGAGUCUGAUUUGAACGCAGGUCUCAUGGUUUCUGAGGUGCUGCUGCACUGUUGGGCGCUGCAGCCUCUUUGCUGUCAGCAAGUAGGAGUUUUGGAUGGAUCCUCUUGACAUCCCAGAACACAAAUGUUCCUGCAUCACUUGACAGAAGUCUCUCAAGUACCUCCCUGCAGGUUUGUCAGAGCCAAUAUGGAAAUACAACUGUGGAUUUUAUGGAAGUUGAUCAGUCCUCUGAUGUUUCCAGUGAAACAUUUUGGAUUCAGUUCGUGUGGAUGCUUGAUUGGUGCACUUGCCAGUGCUGGGUUAUUGGUGGGAUUUGGUGAUCAUAAAGGGGUUUGGUCAGGGACAAUUUGCCCUUAGUGAAGCUGUGAUGGCUGUCCUGGGUCACUCCCCUGUCUUGUGUGUGCCUCAACAUCUCUUCCAUUAAGGUCUGCUCCGAGGUCUUCCCUGGCACAGAGAUGGAUCUUCCACGCUAUGCACCAAGGAGGUCCAGUGAGCCAGUCCCUGUGCUCUGUGUGUUGGAGCAAUACAGUCUGGGGUUCUCAGUUCCCUGAAUGAUACGAAUAAAAACAUUCCAGCACAUACAAGAAGCUGCAACAAUAGCAAAACUGUGCAUAUCCAAGACAACUAAGGCAUUCACCAGUGACAAUGGCAGGAUUUGAGGUUUGGAUUAAUUUUAAAGUUUACUUGGAUGAUCAGCUUGGGAGCCUCGUGGAAGCUGCAGCAGUCCUGAGUUUGGGUUUAAAAUUCACUCAGUUAUCAACUUUUUCCAGUCCCUGUAUUAAUUGCAAAGGAAACUCAUGCUCCCUUGCUCCCUGCUUCCUGACCUUGACAAGACACUGCUUCCAGCAGCUGUAAAUGAAACUGAAAGCAGAUCCAUGAGGAUAAUUAUACCACAGCUGAGGUUUCAACACAUUGUUUGUCCUGUGGAACUUUUUAAGGAAUCUGGCAAACAGGAGACAGUUCCUGAAAGUAUUCCCUGAAACCUCAAGCUUUCCCACUACUCCUGUGGAGUGCUCAGUGGGAUGAUCACUUAACUGGAGGAAAUUGAGUAAAUACAGAAGCAGAAGUCACAGAGGAAAGAAAAAACCAAGGAUUAUAAUUUUUCUCAAGAUUUAGGAGGUUGAUGAGGUCCUGGCACAGGUUGUCCAGAGAAGCUGUGGCUGCCCCAUGCCUGGAAGUGUCCAAGGCCAGGUUGGAGAGG